UAAGCUUGAAUCUUAAUCAAAUGAGGAUACUUCCAAGAGGUGUUGUGAUUUCUUUGUGGGCCUUUUUAUGUUAUCGCCCCUCUUCCUAUGUUUUGUAUAUGUGUGAUGUUCUCUCUAUUUUAAAUCUCUUUGGUUCUGAGUCCGGAUGGGGCUGGGUCCAAAACCGCACAUCCUUAAAGAGCACAGUUGUAGAAUCGAACUAGAACCGGAAAUGAGGUAUAUAAUCCUCUUUUCAAUUCUCCAUUUUCCACUAAAUUGGUUCUUGGUUUUCGGUUUUCGAUAUAGUUCAAUAUGGUUUCAGACCGAUGUCAUCCCUAAUGACGACAUAUAUAAUUAAUUGACAACUUUCUUUUCUAUUCAAAUUUUAUUUAAGUUUCAGUAAAUAUUAUAUAUAAAUUAAAUAUCUAACUAUUACUUGCUUGAUGUUACAAAAUAACCAUCAAUAACUCUCAAAUUGUUGUUGAAGUCAUUUGUCUCUUAGUUACACUCAAUAGGCUAAUAAACUUUUAUUUUUCUAUAUUCCGUUACACCAAUAGAGUAGAUUUCAACCUAUGUUUUCUAACAAAUAAAGAUAAAAUAUCUACAAGUUUGAUAAAAAAAAGAGGAGCGAUGAGAACAAAAAAUAGCGAGUAUGAGAAACAAUUUGCAAGAGCGGCGAGCAAUCAACAAACCAUGAUUAUGAAGCGACACACGCUCGUCCACAUAGAGAGUAUCAAUGUGAGUAGUGUCUCGAUGACGUGGAUAUAAACUUAACGACACAAUGGGGCCGAAGAAGAAAUGAUUGUGAAAGAGAAGAAAACAAAUAGUUCAUGAUAGGAAUGGAGUGAGGGUUUUGAGUUUUGAGUUUGAAAGAUUCAUAAUUUUUGGUUCUUUAGGAUGAUGGUUGAAGUCUAGAUAGUGAUUGAAUUUUUCGAUAUUUUAAAUAUUUCAACAUUUUCGUUUUUCUUUAAUUAUAUAUUAUUUAGUUAUAUAUUGGUAGAUAGUUUAACGAUUAUGAAAACGAGAGGCCUUUUAAAUGUUCUAUUGCUUGAGUUAAGGAUAGGCAUCCUUUUGAAAUAUUUAAAUGUUUUCACCAUUCCAAAAUUGUAAAACAAAGAAAUUUGGAUGGGACAUAAUAUAUCUUGCGGAAAAUAUAGUUUCUACAAUAAGCAUCUAUAGUAGGAUUAUAUUUAACUGUAAUAUAAAAAUGCAUUCCUUAAAAAGAUUAUCUUUUGGUUUCUAAAAGCAAAUAUGUCAAGAAAAAAAAAUCACAACUCCUACACGUUUUUAUAACUAUAGACGCAUGAAAACGAAUAUGUAAAAAAUAGUAAAUAAAAUUUUAAAAAUAAUAAUUAUUUAAAUACAGUUUUUUUGAAUACAUGCAUAAAAACGAAGAUAUAAAUCUUUUUAAAAAAUAAUUUUCUAAAGAAUACUAAUUUCUUAAAAAUAAUUUGAAAAAAAAACAAAGAUGUAGAAAAUAAUUUUUGUAGAAUAUAGAAAACGAAUUAAAAAAAAUAUAAUUUAUAAAAUCAGAGAAAUCUAAAAAAAACAUAUGUGAAACACAAAUAAAAGAAUAUUUGUGAAAAAUCAAAUUUUGUAAAGUUGUAACAAAAAAAACUUUUUUAAAAAGCCUAAAUUUUAGAAAACAUAUAAAAAGAAAGUUGUAAAAAAAACAAGUUUAGACCUAAUUUGUAAUAUAAAAAAAAAAAAGACAGGUCAAAGCGUAGAAUAAAAAAUGUAAGGACCAGAUUUUAGUAAAAGAUAAAAAUGUGGUUUAAAAAGUAAAAAACAAAAGUUAAGGCCUUAAGGGUGAGGUGGUUUAAGAUAAAUGGAAAUGUUUUAAAGAAAGAACCGUUAGAAAUCGGAAGUCGAAAGGGUUGGGUCGGUGUAUUCGCGCUUAAAAUAACCUUCUUCACUCGUCCCUCUGGCUUCUCUACAAACACCAUAGAUACAUGUUUCUUUGAAGAAGAGGGUUUUAUUUGGAGGUUCUUUUUCUUCUAUCGACACCACCGUUUCCUCUUUCUUUCAUUCCCCGACGUUCAACAAUCCUCUGCGUUUCCCUCUUCCUCUGUUAGGUAACGUUCUUGAUUUUUUUUUGUGUAUUUUAUUGAUUUCGUUUUGUUUUUGUUAGGUAUUUUGAAUUAGGCUAACAUCUUCAGGCCUCCCUUCAUCACUGUGAUGGAUUCAUCGGGCUAUUGGGUUGUACCUUUAUUCUUUGUAGUUGUAGUAUGACGUCUGGUCCGAUGUCAGUUUGGUUCACCAUCAUCAUCGAUCAAGAAAACGAGCACAUGUCUUUCUCCUCUGAUUUCUAGGCUGUGAGUUUAAUUGUCUCUUUUCUCCUCCGAUUUCUGGUUUUCUUUUUUCUUUCUAUUUCUCGUCCAUUUAUUUUUUGUUUUGUUGGUUUUUUGAAGCAGGCCACCUAAUAGAAAGCACCCAUCAAAUGAAGAUGAUUGGUCCAACAAUAGUUAAGUUUAAAUAGUCUUGAAACCCAAAAAAGUACUGUUUAGUUGUAGAUUCUUCUUCUGUGCACUUUAGGUGUUUGAUGAAAUGUCUUAAUGUUAUUGGAUUAAAUUAUUGAGCUAUUAGAGAUUCAAUCAGGGAAAGAAAAUUUAUUGUUUGUAGUUUUAACUCAAUUAGAAAUAGAAGUGUAUUUGGUUCUAACUAAGAGUUGCCUAUAAUUAAUAUACGUUAGGCUGAAGUGUUAAAUUUCCAUAUUUGAAACAGAUUUUGAUUGUCAUUGCUACAAAAAUAUAUGGACUUAUGUUUGUAAUUUUCUUACUGCAGGAUUUUUAGAGAUUGAAAAUUGAUUUUUUGGGGGCAUAAGGAAAGUAAGCUUGAAUCUUAAUCAAAUGAGGAAUACUUCCAAGAGGUGUUGUGAUUUUUUUAACAAUUUAUAUGCUGAGCUUUUUGUUUCAAGGCUACUACAAAGAUACGUUUUUAGUUCCAUUGAAUCUCAAAUAAGGGUGUUGGGUGAUUUCCGUCUUCUAUCCACUGAAUUACAAAAGAUAUGAGUCUGUAACUUUGUUUGUUUAUUUCCAGAAAUACCCCUCUGUUCCUAAAAACUUGUGCUUAUAUAUAUAUAUUAUCUGCAGGAAAUGAUGGGAUUAACUAACUUCAUGUUGAAUCAAUCAAAAACGAUGCUGAAUAUUGCAUAGAAACACCUUCAGUACUUAUUUAGUAUGCCUGGUAGAUCUUUACAUCAGGGAAGGAAAUGCCUCAUGGUGGAUUGAAAUGUUAAAAUCAAGUGGUCAAUAUAAAGAGGUGCUGAUGUAUACUUUCGUAUCUCUGAUGAGGUAAUAAUCAAUCCCUUUUGUGAAUAAAAAGUAUUAUAUAUGGGAUUUUUGUUAAAAAACUUCAUUUUUUUUUGUUGGAACCUCUUCAUUCAGCUGUGAUUAUUGUUGUUGUUACUUUUUAUUUUAGCCAAACGAAUUAUGUUAAGAAAGUAUGGAUUUCAUAUCAUUCUUUCUGGUGGUGAUCUGUACAAGAAAUGGGAUCAGGUAUUGCAAUUUUUGUUACCUUAUCAUAUAUCUUAAUACUUUAAUAGAAGAUAAUUUUGUUUUCCAAUUAGUACUUAAUAGAUAAUUUUCAUUAUCGAAUAUAUGAAAAUAACCAUACAUUUCAAAUUAUUUAAAAUGUGGUUUGUGACAGCUCAUUCUAUGAGGGUGAUGAUAAUCCAAAUGUGCAUGAUAUAUUGAUGACUUGCUCGUUCUACAAAUUUGAUCUUGGUUAUUGCCAGGUAACAUG
rnacentral:lncRNA from 1 species